AUCCGGCCAGGAAGCGAUAGUUCCCUGGAGCGCCGCGAGGUUAAAUUCAAAGAAUGGCGGGGCCGCACAAGCGGAGGAACAUGUGGUUAAUUCGAUGAUACGCGAGGACUUACCCGGGCUCGACGGCAGAGGACAAUCCAGAGAUGGUGCGGCCUUCGGGGCUUCUGUCGAGGUGCUGCAUGGUGUCGUCAGCUCGUGCCGUGAGGUGUCGGCUCAAGUGCCAUAACGAGCGCAACCCUGUCGUCAGUUACCAUCAAGUAAAGUUGGGGACUCUGGCGAGACUGCCACCGCAAGGUGAGAGGAAGGGGGGGAUGACGUCAAAUCAGCACGGCCCUUACGUCCGGGGCGACACACGUGUUACAAUGGGGGUUACAGAGGGGCACUACCUGGUGACAGGAUGGGAAUCACGAAAAACAAACUCAGUCCGGAUCGGAGUCUGCAACUCGACUCCGUGAAGCUGGAUUCGCUAGUAAUCGCGCAUCAGCCAUGGCGCGGUGAAUACGUUCCCGGGCCUUGUACACACCGCCCGUCAAGCCAUGAAAGUCUGGGGCGCCUGAAGUUCGUGACCGUAAGGAGCGACCUAGGGCGAAACAGGUAAUUGGGGCUAAGUCGUAACAAGGUAGCCGUACCGGAAGGUGUGGCUGGAUCACCUCCUUCUAAUC
rnacentral:rRNA from 1 species